AGCUCCAAUAGCGUAUAUUAAAGUUGUUGCAGUUAAAAAGCUCGUAGUUGGAUUUCUGGUGGAAUUUGAUGAGUCGGCGCUUAGCGUGUGAACUUAUUCGACUUCCGCCAUCCUAGGGAAAAAUCUUGUUGGCAUUUAGUUGUCGACUUGCUGAUUCCCUUCGUUUACUGUGAAAAAAUUAGAGUGUUCAAAGCAGGCUUAUGCCAUUGAAUAGUCCAGCAUGGAAUAAUAAGAUAGGACCUUGGUACUAUUUUGUUGGUUUGCGCACCAAGGUAAUGAUUAAUAGGGACAGUUGGGGGUAUUCGUAUUUUAAUGUCAGCGGUGAAAUGCUCGGAUCCUUGAAAGACGAACUACUGCGAAAGCAUUUACCAAGGAUGUUUUCA
rnacentral:rRNA from 1 species